AACGAACGCUGGCGGCGUGCCUAACACAUGCAAGUCGGACGAGAAAGUUUCCUUCGGGAAGCGAGUAAAGUGGCGCACGGGUGAGUAACACGUAGACAACCUGCCUUCCAGUCCGGGACAACCUUUCGAAAGAAGGGCUAAUACCGGAUAACACUUUGGGCCGCAUGGCCUGGGGUUGAAAGAUUUAUCGCUGGAAGAGGGGUCUGCGGGACAUUAGCUAGUUGGCGGGGUAACGGCCCACCAAGGCGACGAUGUCUAGCGGGUCUGAGAGGAUGAUCCGCCACACUGGAACUGAGACACGGUCCAGACUCCUACGGGAGGCAGCAGUGGGGAAUUUUGCGCAAUGGGCGAAAGCCUGACGCAGCAACGCCGCGUGAGUGAAGAAGGCC
rnacentral:rRNA from 1 species